GCGCACCAGGCGCGAAAAACUCUGCAAUGCGCGAAAGCGCGACAGGGUUACCCCGAGUGUCGUCCGCUGAGGACGACUUUUCCCCAGUGUAGAUAGCUGGGGGAAUAAGGAGGGGGCAAGUCUGGUGUCAGCCGCCGCGGUAAUACCGAGCUCUCCGGAAGUGGUGGGGACGCUUAUUGGGCCUAAAGCAUCCGGUAGCCGGUCUAACAAGUCCCUUGUUAAAUCCAGCGAUUCAAUCGCUGGACUGCAAGGGAUACGUGUUAGACCUAGGGGGCGGGAGAGGCCGACGGUAGUUCCC
rnacentral:rRNA from 1 species